CACCAUGCCCGGCAAAUAUUUUUGGAUUUUUAGUAGAGCUAGGGUUUCACCAUGUUAGCCAGGCUGGUCUCAAACUCCUGGCCUCAGGUGAUCCACCUGCCUCGACUUCCCAAAGUGCUGGGAUUACAGGCGUGAGCCACCAUGCCCAGCCAAUUUGUUUGUUUUUGAGACAAGUUCUUGCCCUGUCGCCCAGGCUGGAGUGCAGUGGUGCAAUCAUGGCUCACUGCAGCCUCCAACUCCCAGGCUCAAGGGAUCCUCCUACUUCAGCCUCCCGAGUAACUGGGGUUACAGGUGCAUGUCACCAUGCCCAGCCAGCUAUUCACCCUCCUGGGUGGGGCUGGUGGGGUGGUGAUGCCUGCCUUGCUUUCAGGCCCCCAGCAGCAGCCGGUCUGUGCCCUGGCUGCCUGCCACCAACCUGCAUCCCUGCCCCAUAGGCUGCAGCCCCGUACGGAGAGCCUUCUGCGAGCCCUGGUUGCAGAGAAGGCUGACUGCCAUGAAGCCUUGCUGGCUGCUUGGAAGAAAAACCCCAAAUACCUGCUGGCUGAGUACUGUGAGUGGCUGCCACAGGCCGUGCACCCCGAUAUCGAGAAAGCCUGGCCCCCCACCACUGUCCACUGACCAGAGCCGAGGACUGGUUUGGGGACUGGAGGGAUGGCAGCAGCCUGUCACCCUGCGACCGUGACCACCUGGCAUGGGCUUCAUGGCCUGCUCUCAGGAAGCAGGUCAAGCCCUGGGAACCCUCGUCCAUGAGAGCUUGAUUCCGUAUGAAGCGUGCUGCCGCCCGUGCCAUCUGGCCCGGGGGUGA
rnacentral:sRNA from 1 species